AGUGGUUUUUAUGAUGUAACGUUCUGUAAAUAAACCUUGAAAUAUUAAUAUACUCUUCUUUUAUUGUUACUUCUCAAGCUACUCAUCUUGUUGAGGGUGGCAAGUUGGUUUUUAAUGCAUUUGUAGAGGUUGCAAAAAUCUGAAGGUAACAAGGAUACGGACAGCUUAAAAGAAAACGCAGUGAUUUAGUUUUGUGCAUUGGUGGAGGCUAGAAAGAUCUGAGACUGGGGCCAUAUACUCGAAACACCAUAUGUCUUGUGAGCUCUCAUAACUCACCUUACACGUCCGACCUCAUAACUUGUUACAACGUAUCGUGAAAAUCAUCCGCUAAUGGGUGCAGACAUAUUAUGUUGUAAAUGGACGUCACAAGCUGCGAGCUACUGGGAGCGCUUGUAAGUUAGUUGUAACUCCUUAUGACAUCAGAUUCAGGGCACCACUUCAACCUUGAUUAUGAUUUUGAGAUAAGUAUAGUAGACAGUGGUUAUUUGUUACUUCUAUAUGCACUGAUGUGAAAGUAAGACAUUUAAAUAUAAUAAUACAUUACAUGAAAGCACAUAACAUCUGAUUCAGCCGUAGUGAAGAGCUAUUAUAAUCCCUGCUUAACUCUGUUUUACCUACUAACACACCACAAAAGGUAAACUAACUUUUGGUAACCUACUAAGAAGCUUUACCUGCAACAUCCCCAGGAUGAACCAGCCCAUAAAGUUGUAUUAACUUCUGGUUGAGAGCCAGGGUGAUUGCUUCCCAUGGACACCUGACACUGCCCUUUCCAAUAAGGGCCAAGAGCAACAAAAUAUGGCAGCUGGUGUGGCGGCGAGCGGACGUGUCUCUUCUCGUGAAUACGACGGCUGACUGUUAUCAAUUGCCAUUGGCAUUUGGGGAUUUAGUCCAUGAGAGCUGUCUAUCAUGUCAUCUAAAACGAGGAAAGAGAAAGUCAUUGGGAAUAUCUCAAAACACUUUUUGUGUUCCAGCAGUGUUAGGGGUUACAGAGACUUGGCUCAUUAACUCAAUACCAGAUGGUAGUAUCUAUUCCAAAUCAUAAUAUAUGUAUGCAGAAAUGAUGGUUCAAUAUGUAAACAUGGAGUUUGUUUAUAUGUUAACAGUUCAAUUAGAUGUUUGAAUAUGGGUAAUAAAAAACCUAAUACGUA